GAUUAGUGGCGAACGGGUGAGUAACACGUGGGCAAUCUGCCCUGCACUCUGGGACAAGCCCUGGAAACGGGGUCUAAUACCGGAUACUGAUCCUCGCAGGCAUCUGCGAGGUUCGAAAGCUCCGGCGGUGCAGGAUGAGCCCGCGGCCUAUCAGCUAGUUGGUGAGGUAACGGCUCACCAAGGCGACGACGGGUAGCCGGCCUGAGAGGGCGACCGGCCACACUGGGACUGAGACACGGCCCAGACUCCUACGGGAGGCAGCAGUGGGGAAUAUUGCACAAUGGGCGAAAGCCUGAUGCAGCGACGCCGCGUGAGGGAUGACGGCCUUCGGGUUGUAAACCUCUUUCAGCA
rnacentral:rRNA from 1 species